rnacentral:rRNA from 1 species
UCACUUUCAACAACGGAUCUCUUGGCUCUCGCAUCGAUGUAGAACGCAGCGAAAUGCGAUAAGUAGUGUGAAUUGCAUAAUUUUGUGAAUCAUCGAAUCUUUGAACGCAAAUUGCACUCCCUGGUAUUCCGGGGAGUAUGCCUGUUUGAGGGUCGUUAGAAUAAAA